rnacentral:rRNA from 1 species
CCUACGGGGGGCAGCAGUGAGGAAUAUUGGUCAAUGGACGAGAGUCUGAACCAGCCAAGUAGCGUGAAGGAUGACUGCCCUAUGGGUUGUAAACUUCUUUUAUAAAGGAAUAAAACGAGGCACGUGUGCCUUUUUGCAUGUACUUUAUGAAUAAGGAUCGGCUAACUCCGUGCCAGCAGCCGCGGUAAUACGGAGGAUCCGAGCGUUAUCCGGAUUUACUGGGUGUAAAGGGUGCGUAGGCGGCUUGGCAAGUCAGUAGUGAAAUCCAUGGGCUUAACCCAUGAACUGCUAUUGAAACUGUCGAG